GAUUUGCUGCAUCAACUCAAGGUUCCGCCAGUGUUGUGAGGAUGCGUAUCUGAUUUUACGACGGCAUGGGAAUCUGUUCAUCACUCUCUUUGCACUGAUGUUGACUGCAGGACUUCCUGAGCUCACAUCAGUUAAGGAUAUACAGUAUCUUAAGGAUUCUCUUGCCUUAGGGAAAAGUGAAGAAGAAGCACUAAAGCAAUUUAAGCAAAAAUUUGAUGAGGCACUCAGGGAAAGCUGGACUACUAAAGUGAACUGGAUGGCCCACACAGUUCGGAAAGACUACAGAUCUUAGCGAUCAGCCUUUGCUCCUGUAUCCGUUGGUUUCAUUUUAGUUUUCAUUUUGCACUUGCACUAAAUUGAACACAACCCUGCCACAGAUGUUAUAAAGGGAAUGAAAUCUGGAAGUAAGAGUUAAAUUAAGAACAAGGUACCCUGCAGAAGCUAAUCUGAGCAAUCACUGAUGGCCACUCUCUGCUUUUUGAUGCUUCCAAGAUUCUUCAUGAAAACUGUCAACAUUAAGGAUAAUCAUUUCCUGCUGACUUUGCACGCCACGGAAUGCUACUAGGGAUUGUUUUUGUUUUGUUUUUUAAAAGUAUUUGGUACUUUUCUGGAAAGGUGUAAAUACUUCUUUUUCAUAUUGUGACCAAGUGUUAUCAUCACCCAGCCAACUUAUCCACACCUGGGGACUGGUAGCUGUUCUUUCCAAAUGAGGUUUAAAAGAGAGAUAUCUUUUUUCCCUUUUUAAAUUUUUCCCUUUUUAAACUACAAAUUAUAAUAUAAUUUGAAAUUAUGAAUUUUUUCCCCAAAAGUAAUCUUUUAAACCUGUGGAAAUAUUAAUUUUUUGUUGAUAUUUAUCUAUUGUCAUAAGAUCUUCCCUACCAGACUUGCUGAAAAUCUACUGUUGAGGAAAAUAUCUAUUGAUGCUGCACAUAUAUUUAUAAAAUUUCUAGUGGGAAUUCUAUAUAAAAAGAUGUUUCUUUGGUUUUCUUCAGCCUAUGUUUUAAAGUUCUACAGAAAGCAGAGCUUUUUCCUAAGUUUUUGAUCCAGUUCUUCCAGCUGCUUCUGUAAUGAGGCACACACAGUUUUUACAUGCUAUCUAUGAAAGAUUUCACUUCAUAGAGCAUAAUACUUGAGCAAAUGUAUCCAAGGCAGAAAGCAAAUGAAAAGGAAACUAUAUAUGGGAUAAACUCCAAAACUAAAAUUCAGGAUUUUAGUAAAAUGCCAGCUGUUCUUACUGUAUUUAUUAAAACUUGUAAAAAUGUGAUUUUUCAAGGAUACUAGCUCAAAUUGAAAUGGUUUCAUGCCACAUGGAAUUCUUUAAUUUAUUUGUUGAGGUACCAUAAAUUUAGGGUGCUAGGUGGCAAAUAAUGUUACAUGUGCAAUAGGAACCACUGGUUUGAAUGUGUAAGUUGGUGCUCUUCUGCGUCCUGGCAGCAUCAGCACAACUACUGCAUAUUCCCCAAAGACUGUUGGGAGCUCUCGGUCCUCAGUGACAUUGGAAAGAGAGUUGAGUAUUUGCUCUGAGACUGAGUUUUCUAUAGGAAUUUUAUUAAACAUCGUUUAAUUUUGUUGUCUUCCUUAAUGUUCUCAGUCAAAUAAAUGGGUAAGUUGGUGUCAGCUGCCCUUGGGAUG